UGCAGAAUCCCGCGAACCAUCGAGUCUUUGAACGCAAGUUGCGCCCGAGGCCAAUCGGUCGAGGGCACGUCCGCCUGGGCGUCAGAC
rnacentral:rRNA from 1 species